UAGAUGACGCUGGCGGCGUGCCUAAUACAUGCAAGUCGAACGAGUUCUCGUUGAUGAUCGGUGCUUGCACCGAGAUUCAACAUGGAACGAGUGGCGGACGGGUGAGUAACACGUGGGUAACCUGCCCUUAAGUGGGGGAUAACAUUUGGAAACAGAUGCUAAUACCGCAUAGAUCCAAGAACCGCAUGGUUCUUGGCUGAAAGAUGGCGUAAGCUAUCGCUUUUGGAUGGACCCGCGGCGUAUUAGCUAGUUGGUGAGGUAAUGGCUCACCAAGGCGAUGAUACGUAGCCGAACUGAGAGGUUGAUCGGCCACAUUGGGACUGAGACACGGCCCAAACUCCUACGGGAGGCAGCAGUAGGGAAUCUUCCACAAUUGGACGCAAGUCUGAUGGAGCAACGCCGCGUGAGUGAAGAAGGCUUUCGGGUCGUAAAACUCUGUUGUUGGAGAAGAAUGGUCGGCAGAGUAACUGUUGUCGGCGUGACGGUAUCCAACCCAGAAAGCCACGGCUAACUACGUGCCAGCAGCCGCGGUAAUACGUAGGUGGCAAGCGUUAUCCGGGAUUUAUUGGGCGUAAAGCGAGCGCAGGCGGUUUUUUAAGUCUGAUGUGAAAGCCCUCGGCUUAACCGAGGAAGCGCAUCGGAAACUGGGAAACUUGAGUGCAGAAGAGGACAGUGGAACUCCAUGUGUAGCGGUGAAAUGCGUAGAUAUAUGGAAGAACACCAGUGGCGAAGGCGGCUGUCUGGUCUGUAACUGACGCUGAGGCUCGAAAGCAUGGGUAGCGAACAGGAUUAGAUACCCUGGUAGUCCAUGCCGUAAACGAUGAAUGCUAGGUGUUGGAGGGUUUCCGCCCUUCAGUGCCGCAGCUAACGCAUUAAGCAUUCCGCCUGGGGAGUACGACCGCAAGGUUGAAACUCAAAGGAAUUGACGGGGGCCCGCACAAGCGGUGGAGCAUGUGGUUUAAUUCGAAGCAACGCGAAGAACCUUACCAGGUCUUGACAUCUUUUGAUCACCUGAGAGAUCAGGUUUCCCCUUCGGGGGCAAAAUGACAGGUGGUGCAUGGUUGUCGUCAGCUCGUGUCGUGAGAUGUUGGGUUAAGUCCCGCAACGAGCGCAACCCUUAUGACUAGUUGCCAGCAUUUAGUUGGGCACUCUAGUAAGACUGCCGGUGACAAACCGGAGGAAGGUGGGGAUGACGUCAAAUCAUCAUGCCCCUUAUGACCUGGGCUACACACGUGCUACAAUGGAUGGUACAACGAGUUGCGAGACCGCGAGGUCAAGCUAAUCUCUUAAAGCCAUUCUCAGUUCGGACUGUAGGCUGCAACUCGCCUACACGAAGUCGGAAUCGCUAGUAAUCGCGGAUCAGCACGCCGCGGUGAAUACGUUCCCGGGCCUUGUACACACCGCCCGUCACACCAUGAGAGUUUGUAACACCCGAAGCCGGUGGCGUAACCCUUUUAGGGAGCGAGCCGUCUAAGGUGGGACAAAUGAUUAGGGGAAGUCGAACAUGC
rnacentral:rRNA from 2 species